AUUGAACGCUGGCGGCAUGCUUUACACAUGCCAGUCGGACGAGUGGCGGACGGGUGAGUAAUGUAUGGGAAAGUCCCGGGUCAUGGGGGAUAACUACUCGAAAGAUUAGCUAAUACCGCAUAUUAUUCGAGCGGCCGAGAUCUGAUUAGCUGGUUGGUGGGGUAAAGGCCUACCAAGGCGACGAUCCGUAGCGGGUCUGAGAGGAUGACCCGCCACACGAGAACUGAGACACGGCCCAGACUCCUACGGGAGGCAGCAGUGGGGAAUUUUGGACAAUGGGCGCAAGCCUGAUGCAGCCAUGCCGCGUGUAUGAAGAAGGCCUUCGGGUUGUAAAGGACUUGUGUCAGGGAAGCGGUACCCGAAGAAUAAGCACCGGCUAACUACGUGCCAGCAGCCGCGGUAAUAC
rnacentral:rRNA from 1 species